rnacentral:rRNA from 1 species
AGGACGAACGCUGGCGGCGUGCUUAACACAUGCAAGUCGAACGGUGACCCAGGGCUUGCCCUGGUGAUCAGUGGCGAACGGGUGAGUAACACGUGGGCAACCUGCCCCAGACUCUGGGAUAACUUCGGGAAACCGGAGCUAAUACCGGAUACGAAUCGAGUUGGCAUCUACUCGAUUGGAAAGUUUUUCGGUCUGGGAUGGGCCCGCGGCCUAUCAGCUUGUUGGUGGGGUAAUGGCCUACCAAGGCGACGACGGGUAGCCGGCCUGAGAGGGCGAACGGCCACACUGGGACUGAGACACGGCCCAGACUCCUACGGGAGGCAGCAGUGGGGAAUAUUGCGCAAUGGGCGAAAGCCUGACGCAGCGACGCCGCGUGAGGGACGACGGCCUUCGGGUUGUAACCUCUUUCAGCGGGAUGAAGCGAAAGUGACAGUACCCGCAGAAGAAGCACCGGCUAACUACGCGCCAGCAGCCGC